UAGAAUAAGAUAUAAUAGUGCAUUUCAGUUUCUAGAUGCUUACCUGAACUUGAACUUCCAGUCAUGUAUUUUAAUGUGUUAUUAUUUACAAGCUUAAAAUGACAUAAUUGGUCUAUGAAAGGUGUGUUUCCUAUUCGGUGCAUUAUAUGAGGCAAUGCAGUGUGUACCUGUUAAAAUGGGUUAUUGAGGGAUAUCACUGGGCCAAGUUUAGAAAAAGAUGGGUUUUAACCUUAUCCUAGGCUUAUUUCUCCCUCUUCCUAUAGCUAUUCUUUUUGUAGCUUGAGAGUGCCUCUACUCACAAGACAAAUUUCAGUGUUUAUCUUAUUUUGAUUGGUUUUGUAUGCUUCAUUCUAUAAGUGGUGAAACAAACUGUGCUGUUUGUAUCACAAUUUUAUUAUCAGUAGUUUUCAGUGUAUUCAGUACUCUGCUUCGUUUGUGGUACCAAGCUUUGGAAUACUAAAGGAAGGUGUAUUGUUCACUGGCAGUUCUCCUUUUUUUCCUAUUGUCUAUCUUUUUUUUUUUUUUUUUUUCUUAAUGAACAUAAUACUUAGGAAAUUUAAGGGUAGAAAAAAGCAUCCAUGGUUUUACAGUCUGAAUUCCCAUUUUACCUGAUUUUAGAAUUUCACUCACAUCAAAUCCCAAACUUUCCUGGCUAAGCCCAGCCAGCUCUAUGAAAGUCAUUGAAAGUAAGCUUUAAGGUAAGUCAUAGCUGAUAGGUAUUGUAUAGGACACAAAAAUAACAGGGCCUUCAGAUUGCCAGCUUAGGUUGUAAUCAACUGGAUAGGAAGCACCUGUGAGGCUAGGAGGGGCCUCAGGGCACUUCAGCUGUAGUUUCCCUUUGUUUGCCUCCUGAGGGUCAGCCUGCUGGAGCUUUCCCUGACCAUCUGAGGACUUACUUCUGAGUCUGAGUGGCGUUCCUAACUCUCCCAGGAUCACUUGGAGAUGGCUGGCUGAGUUUCAAGUCCUUUUUCUCUUGGGAAGUCAAGUCUUUUCCAGCUUCCUAGUAAUUAAAAAGAAAAAAAGACGACUCCCGCUGUGAAGGUCUAUCGUCAGCCUUUAGAAACAAUCCAAGAGUCCAAACAGAGUAAAUACAGAGGACUGAAACAUAUAAUAUGAGAAACAUCACAAGAAGAUUCCUAUGAACUGUUACUCUUGUGAUUUGAACAAGACAAGGGUGACCGUCAGGGUUGACUGUAGAUCUCAGUAUUGAUGCUAAUUAUGCUUUUCUUAUUAUGUGUGUAUAAUUAUCCUUAUUGGACAGAAGUUGACAAUCUGGUAUAUAUUAAUGUAUCCUAAAUACAGAAGUUUUGAGAGAAAAUGUGAUUGAAUGUUACUAUUUUUCUGUUGAAUUGAUGCAAACAAGCGUGUAAAAAGAAUUUACUCAUUUAAUUCAUAACAGCAUGCUGAACCUUAAAAUAAAUAGACUUGAAGACAAUGAGCUAUUGUACAUGUUUCUGGUCUUAAAAGGCUCUCUGAAAAAAUAUUUCAGACCAUACAAUUCAAUGUAACAUUUAGUAGAAGGUGAGUGUUCCCUUAGUUGCCGUUGCAUGUACUGUUUUUCUAAUUCCUGGAAGAGACUGGCAUAUUAUGAUUCACAGCAUUAAGUUGAACAUGGUUAAAGGUUGAAUGAGUGACAAAUGCCUCUGGAAACUUUAGAGACACAUCAUUUUCACAAGGACACUUAGAAGAAAACAGCUUUGAAAAGAAAAAGAAAAAAAGAAAAAAAAAGAAAAGCUUUAGAAUAUUCCCUUUUUAUCAGAAGAAUUAAAGAAAAAUUUUAUCUAGUAAAAGAAACAAAAAAUAAUGUUUAACUGUUCCAGGACAUUGUGUUAGUAAUUAGUUUAAUUUAACUAUAUGUAACAGUUCAUUUGUACACUAUCAUAUGGCUUUUUCUUUUAAGUUAAUACAUCUGAUGUCCGAAGAGAUCUAUUUCUUGUUCAGCGAGGCUAGAACUUAGAUUCAUCUAAAACAAGGGAUAUUUUGUCAUUGUUUUCAAUCCGCUAAAUUCAAAACUAGCUCGAUUUUUCCCUUUCAGUGAGAUGUAAUCUUCUAUAGUCAUAAAUCAAAGCAAGUUAGCAUCUCUCAGGACCUGGAUUUUGAAUGAUAACUGAGUAUGUGACUGUUCAGGGGCUAUAGAUAGAUAGAGAUACGGAGACAACUGUAGCUAUAUAGUUAUGUAAUCAGGUAAGGGUAUGGUGUGAAAAUACAUUUUUAAAUACCUGUUCACUGCAAUAUUUUUUUCUGGACUGAUUUAUGUAUAGUGUGAGGCACACAGUGGUAUGCGUCAGUUUGUUGGUUUGCUACUGAUUAAU